UACGGAGGGUGCGAGCGUUGUCCGGAAUCACUGGGCGUAAAGGGCGCGUAGGCGGCGCGGGCAGUCAACGGUGAAAGCUUGGGGCUCAACCCCGAGUCGGCCGUCGAUACUCCCGUGCUUGAGCACUGUAGAGGCAGGUGGAAUUCCGGGUGUAGCGGUGGAAUGCGUAGAGAUCCGGAAGAACACCGGUGGCGAAGGCGGCCUGCUGGGCAGUAGCUGACGCUGAUGCGCGACAGCGUGGGGAGCAAACGGG
rnacentral:rRNA from 1 species